GGACCCGUGGAUUAGUGGUUAUAUCGCAUCCUUUACACGGAUUAGGUCCCCGGUUCGACCCCGGGCGGGUUCA
rnacentral:tRNA from 2 species